rnacentral:piRNA from 1 species
UGAUUCUUGGUGAGAAGCAGGGAA